GAUAAACGCUGGCGGCGUGCAUAACACAUGCAAGUCGAACGAUGAAACUUAGAUGAUUUCUUCGGAAUGAACUUAAGUGGAUUAGUGGCGAACGGGUGAGUAACACGUGAGUAACCUGCCUUACACAAGGGGAUAGCCUCUGGAAACGGAGAAUAAUACCCUAUAAAGUCUAAUCAGCUCCUGCUGGAAAGACCAAAGAUUUAUCGGUGUAAGAUGGACUUGCGUCUGAUUAGCUAGUUGGUGAGAUAAAAGCUCACCAAGGCGACGAUCAGUAACCGGAUUGGGAGAGUGGUCCGGCAUCUUGGGACAGGGACACGGCCCAAACUCCUACGGGAGGCAGCAGUGGGGAAUGUUGCACAAUGGGGGAAACCCUGAGGCCGCGACGCCGCGAGAUUUAGAAGGCCUGCGGGUUGUAAAAAUCUUUUUUACGGGAUGAAAAUGACAGUACCGUAAGAAUAAGGUCCGGCUAAAUACGUG
rnacentral:rRNA from 1 species